rnacentral:rRNA from 1 species
CUACGGGAGGCUCCAGUGGGGAAUAUUGGGCAAUGGGGGAAACCCUGACCCAGCAACGCCGCGUGAAGGAUGAAGGCUUUCGGGUUGUAAACUUCUUUGAUCGGGGAAGAACCAAGACGGUACCCGAGGAACAAGCCACGGCUAACUACGUGCCAGCAGCCGCGGUAAUACGUAGGUGGCAAGCGUUGUCCGGAAUUACUGGGGGUAAAGGGCGCGUAGGCGGGAAGGCAAGUCAAAAGUGAAAUCCCAGGGCUCAACCCUGGAACUGCUUCUGAAACUGUUUUUCUUGAGUGUCGGAGAGGAAAGUGGAAUUCCCAGUGUAGCGGUGAAAUGCGUAGAGAUUGGGAGGAACACCAGUGGCGAAGGCGGCUUUCUGGACGAUAACUGACGCUGAGGCGCGAAAGCGUGGGGAGCAAACAGGAUUAGAUACCCCGGUAGUC